rnacentral:rRNA from 1 species
GCAUAUCAAUAAGCGGAGGAAAAGAAACCAACAGGGAUUGCCCUAGUAACGGCGAGUGAAGCGGCAACAGCUCAAAUUUGAAAGCUAGCCUUCGGGUUCGCAUUGUAAUUUGUAGAGGAUACUUUGGGUAAAACGCCAGUCUAAGUUCCUUGGAACAGGACGUCAUAGAGGGUGAGAAUCCCGUAUGUGACUGGAAACGUUGACCUAUGUAAAGUUCCUUCGACGAGUCGAGUUGUUUGGGAAUGCAGCUCUAAAUGGGAGGUAAAUUUCUUCUAAAGCUAAAUAUUGGCGAGAGACCGAUAGCGCACAAGUAGAGUGAUCGAAAGAUGAAAAGCACUUUGGAAAGAGAGUUAAAAAGCACGUGAAAUUGUUGAAAGGGAAGCGCUUGCAAUCAGACUUGUUUAAACUGUUCGGCCGGUCUUCUGACCGGUUUACUCAGUUUGGACAGGCCAGCAUCAGUUUCGGCGGCCGGAUAAAGGCUCUGGGAAUGUGGCCUCCACUUCGGUGGAGGUGUUAUAGCCCAGUGUGUAAUACGGCCAGCCGGGACUGAGGUCCGCGCUUCGGCUAGGAUGCUGGCGUAAUGGUUGUAAGCGACCCGUCUUGAAACACGGACC